rnacentral:rRNA from 1 species
UACAGAGGUCCCAAGCGUUGUUCGGAUUCAUUGGGCGUAAAGGGUGCGUAGGCGGCGCGGUAAGUCGGGUGUGAAAUCUCGGGGCUUAACUCCGAAACUGCAUUCGAUACUGCCGUGCUUGAGGACUGGAGAGGAGACUGGAAUUUACGGUGUAGCGGUGAAAUGCGUAGAUAUUCGGAAGAACACCAGUGGCGAAGGCGGCUCACUGGACUGGUAUUGACGCUGAGGUGCGAAAGCGUGGGGAGCAAACAGG